rnacentral:rRNA from 1 species
AGGGUGCAAAGCGUUAUCCGGGAUUUAUUGGGUUUAAAAGGGUGCGUAGGNCGGAAAUUUAAGUCAGUGGUGAAAUCCCGUGGCUCAACCAUGGAACUGCCAUUGAUACUGAAUUUCUUGAAUGCAGUUGAGGUAGGCGGAAUGUGUAAUGUAGCGGUGAAAUGCUUAGAUAUUACACAGAACACCGAUUGCGAAGGCAGCUUGCUAAACUGUGAUUGACGCUGAUGCACGAAAGCGUGGGUAGCGAACAGGAUUAGAUACCCUGGUAGUCCACGCUGUAAACGAUGAUCACUCGUUGUUUGCGAUAUAUUGUAAGCGACUGAGCGAAAGCAUUAAGUGAUCCACCUGGGGAGUACGUCGGCAACGAUGAAACUCAAAGGAAUUGACGGGGGCCCGCACAAGCGGAGGAACAUGUGGUUUAAUUCGAUGAUACGCGAGGAACCUUACCUGGGUUUAAAUGCAGAUUGCAUGAGGGGGAAACUUCUCUUUCCUUCGGGACUAUUUGCAAGGUGCUGCAUGGUUGUCGUCAGCUCGUGCCGUGAGGUGUCGGGUUAAGUCCCAUAACGAGCGCAACCCCUAUCGUUAGUUGCCAUCAGGUCAUGCUGGGGACUCUAACGAGACUGCCGGUGUAAACCGUGAGGAAGGUGGGGAUGACGUCAAAUCAGCACGGCCCUUAUAUCCAGGGCUACACACGUGUUACAAUGGUCGGUACAAAGAGCAGCCACUUGGUGACAAGGCGCUAAUCUCAAAAGCCGAUCACAGUUCGGAUCGAAGUCUGCAACUCGACUUCGUGAAGUUGGAUUCGCUAGUAAUCGCGCAUCAGCCACGGCGCGGUGAAUACGUUCCCGGGCCUUGUACACACCGCCCGUCAAGCCAUGGAAGCUGGGGGUACCUGAAGUCUGUAACCGCAAGGAGCGGCCUAAGGUAAAACUAGUAACUGGGGCUAAGUCGUAACAAGGUACCCGAAGGGCGAAUUCCGCGGCCGCUAAA